GGUUUCAUGGUGUAAUGGUUAGCAUUCUAGACUUUGAAUCUAAUGACCUGAGUUUGAUUCUCGAUCGGACUU
rnacentral:tRNA from 1 species